AUGUCAUGAUGUGGACACUUCCUAAGAAAGUCAUUCAAGUGCUCCCAUGUCUCGUGAAAUAUUUCCCCUUCCCUUUGAGAAAAUUCUCAAAUUGAAGUUCUCAUUGC